GACGAACGCUGGCGGCGUGCCUAAUACAUGCAAGUUGAGCGAUGAAGCUUGGUGCUUGCACCAAUUUGAAGAGCAGCGAACGGGUGAGUAACGCGUGGGGAAUCUGCCUUUGAGCGGGGGACAACAUUUGGAAACGAAUGCUAAUACCGCAUAAUAACUUUAAACAUAAGUUUUAAGUUUGAAAGAUGCAAUUGCAUCACUCAAAGAUGAUCCCGCGUUGUAUUAGCUAGUUGGUGAGGUAAAGGCUCACCAAGGCGAUGAUACAUAGCCGACCUGAGAGGGAGGACGGACACAGUGGGACUGGGACAACGCCCAAAGAUGGACGGGGAGGAGCAGUAGUGAAACCUCGGCUAUGAGCGAAAAUCUGACCGAGCAACGCCGCGUGAGUGGAGAAAGUUUUCGGAUCGUAAAACUCUGUUGGUAGAGCAGAACGUUGGUGAGAGUGGAAAGCUCAUCAAGUGACGGUAACUACCCAGAAAGGGACGGCUAACUACGUG
rnacentral:rRNA from 1 species